GCCUCCGUAGUUAAAUGGAUAUAAUAACUCCCUCCUAAGGAGUAGUUCUGGGUUCGAUUCCCGGCGGGGGUGCCA
rnacentral:tRNA from 1 species